GUAUGCAGUGGAAUUUUUUUUUAUGCAGUUAUACUGUCAAUUGCUUUGAUGCCAAACCAGAUCAUUACACCACAUGAUGAUGGAAUCAAUUCUGAGUCAUUUUCAAGAUGCACUUUCUCUGCUUUCUGUGGUGCUAGAAAAUGCAGACAAAGACUGUGAGUCUAGAGCAAGAGCCACAAGGAUCUGAGUUAGAGACGUUCUAGUCCCGUGGCACCUUUGGGUUUCCAGAGAUCUUUCCCUAAGAAACUGUUCACACAAAAUCACAAUUCCUGUGACUGUGCACAGUAACUUAACUCCAGCAAGUGUGCUCACAAGUGCUGUCACAGGAUGAAUGAAUUUAAGGUCAGAAAGGGAAGUUUUUUAGUUAGGACAUGCACAUAGAACAAAGCUCAUUCCCCAUCAAGUGUACUGGGUAAUCUGAAUUCUACUGAAGAGUUUAGAAACUGAAAUGCUCAACAUUCUCCAGCCCAGUGAAUGGGUGUUUGGUUCUGUCAGUGGAUGCUGCAGCACUGAAACACCAUGUCUCUUACCCCAGGUGCUUGACUGCAGAAGCCUGUAAAUCAGGAGGUAGACAUGGCACAGCCCUGCAACAUAAUGGUUGUAUGCUUGAGGUAUCAUCCUGAGCAUAGCCUAUGAUCUUCUUGUGAAAAAUUCAGGGGUGAAGUUCCAAAAUGGAUUUUCAAUGGACCUCUGGCUUGUCUCUCCUCAGACCGACUGCCAGCAACUCUGAAACUACAUGGAUUUUUCUUUCCCACAUGCUUGCUGUUGGAUUUUUAGCUGCCUCUUCUGCAAUGUGCUCUUUGGCAACCAGGAGGAUAGUCAGCCUGCACAGCAUUGUGCUCCUCAUAGCAGUCUGCCUUCUGAACAAACCCAGACAGUGCCUCAUGACAGCCUGGGAUCAAAAUCAGCAACUUCAGCAAGACUCAUCCUCGGGGAAGAAGGUCAGAAAUCUUCUAUCAAGAUUGCUUGUCUGUUGAGAAUAUUGAUUUCAGUAUUACUAAGAUAAAAUUAGUGAUAUUGAAAUGAUUGGUUAAACAUGCAACUUCCAGGAACUGAAACUCUACGAACUACGUCUCUUUCUGAAAGUUUUAUUUUAUCUAAACACACUGAGACUUUGAUGAUCAAGUAACUUAAUCUAUCCAACACGCAAAGGUGUUUCUGAGGAGCGAAGAAUUGUUGCACAUUUUCUUACGUCUUUUGUGUUGCCAAAUAAAUAUAUACGUUUCCUUACCA
rnacentral:lncRNA from 1 species